UGGACAUGUUACGGACAUUUAUGCUUUCUCUUUCUGACAUUAUUAUUGGUCUUUUAUUUAUUGAUUAGAAUAAAUCUUCAAAUGGUUUAGUGCUGGGGCAAUAGGUGAAAAAGUUGAUAUACAUAGCUCACAGAGCAUGUUACAAUAAAUGAAACAUGAAUAGCAGGCAUGCAUAUUAAUGUCCCUGAAACCAUAAAACAGUUUAAAAAGUUCUAAAGGCAAAAACAGAAAUGACAGUCUCAGUUCUCUUAAUUUUAACAUUACUCUCCUAUCCUCUCCAACAGUCUGGACAGAUUUUUCUUUUUGCCUUAAAGAAAUCUUCCUUUUCAUGCUUUAUUUUUUAUACGAACGUGACAAUAUCUCUUACCUCCUGAAAUAACUUUAGCAUAUGCAGUGUCCUUCCUUUAGAAUUAAGACACAAUAUUAAUUGUUAGGGUAGAGGAAUAUGCUACCCUAACCUUUACUGCAUUCUGAAGCGUGCUGAAGAGAAGAUAUGAACAAUGAGUUGGGUUGUACUUGUUUAGAAUAGUAUUUACAACUUUGAUUAGCAGGAGUGCUGUAUUUUUGUUUUUCUCAUCAGUACUGGUUUAUGCACUAGGAAUGCCAGGUCCUUGCCCCAAGAUAAUGAGGGUGUUCACAUCUUACAAUAAACUAGAAUUAGUCUAAGCUCUAGCUGAUUAAACUCAAGCAAGCAUGAUAUUGCAUGUGUCUUUAUCACUUCAAUUUGGCUCCUCCUGCCAGUGGGAAGGGUUUCACAAAUUAGGAAACCUCCAUUUCCUAGGAAGAAAAAUUCAAGCUGGGGAUGAAUUAUGCCUGAAGGCUGUUCCAUUGUUUGUGUCUUUAAACAAGCUACUGAACAUAACUGCAGACCAGACCAUUCCGUGCUUUGCCAUCAUUCAUUUUAUCUGCUGUCUUCUGCAGAAUUCUCAAGUUGUCCCAUGACAGCUUAGAUGGGAUUGAAGGAAUAGUAGGCUUCAGCUUGUCUUAGUCCUUUGGAGCAUUUAGUGCAUUGGGAGCUCUCCUCCAAAGGAGGGCUCGGCAUCUUAAGAGACAUUCUGAAAGCUUGUUUGCAACUGUACUUGUGAGAGGUGUUUAUUUGGUCCAUGUAUCUUCUCUAUAUUGAAAGUCUAGUAUCAGUUACAAAUUUCAAUUGUGCUCCCUAAAGAAUUGUAUGGCCUGAUCCCCCUUGGAAUCAAGAUGACCCUCAAGUAUUUGUUAGAAAGGAGGAGAUCUGUGAAGAGUUGAUUAUUGUGAUGAUCUUCAAAGAAAAAAAUAAAGAGCUGGACAAGU